AUUUUCAUUCCAUAAAACAGAAUGAAAAUUAUAUGUUGCUCUUGUUCAGCACUUUAAGCUGUUCUUGCGUUUUUCCUCAGAUGAAAAUGUCCUUUAUGCAGACCUCAUCACAAAAAAUAGGAUGUUUUCUGCUGAAAGAUUUUGGGUGCCAAACUACAACCCAACACCUUCCCAAGGAAUUUAAGGAUCAGCCCCUGGGAGCUCUGGAAGAGUGAGGAUCUCAGGUGUCCAAUUCCCUCCUGGCCUCAGCAGUGGAAGAACUUUUAUUCCACUAAUAUUUGAAGAAAACAUUUAAUAGAAAAGAAACGUCAAUAAAGUGUUAAUAUUUGUAAUCUUGGUUUCCUGU
rnacentral:lncRNA from 1 species